rnacentral:rRNA from 1 species
UACGGGGGGGGCAAGCGUUGUUCGGAAUUACUGGGCGUAAAGGGCUCGUAGGUUGCCAACUAAGUCAGACGUGAAAUCCCUCAGCUUAACUGGGGAACUGCGUCUGAUACUGGAUGGCUUGAGUUUGGGAGAGGGAUGCGGAAUUCCAGGUGUAUCGGUGUAAUGCGUAGAUAUCUGGAGGAACACCGGUGGCGAAGGCGGCAUCCUGGACCAACACUGACACUGAUGAGCGAAAGCCAGGGGAGCAAACGGG